UACGUAGGGGGCUAGCGUUGUCCGGAAUCAUUGGGCGUAAAGGCGCGAUGUAGGCGGUCCGGUAAGUCCGCUGUCGAAGUCGAGGGCUCAAACCCUCGAAUGCCGGUGGAAUACUGUCGGGCGUAGAGUGACGGGAAGAGGCGUAGUGGCGAAUUCCCGGUGGUAGUGGGUAGAAAUGCGUAGAUAUCGGGAGGAACACCAGUGGCGAAGGCGGCUGGCCUGGGCCAGUUCUGACGCUGAGGCGGCCGAAAGCGUGGGGAGCAAACAGG
rnacentral:rRNA from 1 species